UCAGAAUUUCAAAACUUACUUAGAACAAAAAAGAAAGGUUAAAAACCACAUUAUAAUAGGUGAUUUUAAUAUAAACAUACAGGAUCAUAAUCUUAUAAGCAUGGAUUUCCUAAAUAACCUACUAGAAAACAGCUUCCUUCCAGGAUUUACAAAUACUACCAGACCAUCAAAUAUAACUUCGAAUGAAGGAACGUGUAUUGACAAUAUCCUCAUCAAAACGGAAUUCCUAAAUACAAAAGCACUAACACUAAAGGUGCAUAUAACAGAUCGUUACCUAUUAUUUCUAGAAAUAAAAAAUGGUACACUUAAUCCAAACAACAAAGAGACAAAGACUGACAUGGUUUAUUACAACUACAAAAAAUUAUUCAAUACUGCUAGACAAAUAGACUGGACAAAAUUCAAAAAUAAAAAAGAUCCAAAUGAAAAUGUAAAUGAAAUAAUAAAUGAAAUUCGAUUAUGCAUUGAAAAAUCAAUAUAUAAAAAACAAAAAAUAAAUAAAUCAAAGAAAACACCCAGGAAAGACUGGAUAACAAGUGCAAUUUUUAACUCGUGCAAUACUAAAGAAAUUUUAUACAAUAGAUUAAAACAAAAUCCAGACAACGUUGAACUCAAGGCAGAAUACAAAAAAUUUGUUAAAACUCUAGAUAAAGUAAUUAAGGCAGCUAAAAUCGAAUAUGAUAGGAAAAAAAUUGAGAGCAACAGUAAUGAUCCCAGAAAUUCUGGGCCUGCAUAAAUCACAAAAUAGGCAAAAGUAAGAAUAAAUCUGACACUAAUAUUAAUCAGUUAAAAUUGAAGAUAACACAAUAAUCAAAAAUAGUAGUGAAAUUGCUAAUAAAAUGAAUGAGUUUUACUGCAAACUUGGAGAAACAUUGAGUAACAAAAUAACUAUACCAAAGGAUAGACAGUUAGAACUACCUAAAAACAAUCCAAAAACAAUUUGCAUUAAACCUACGCGAAGGGCAAAUGUAAAUUAUACAAUAAUCGCAAACAUCAACGGAUUUACAACUACAAUUACAACAAAAUGAUAAAUGCAUACUCAAAUAUAACGACCGUCUAGACAAUCUAACAAACGAAAUAAUAAAUGAAUGGACCUAUAAAACUAAAGAUGAAAAAACAAGUAUCAAAUUCAUAAAAUUCGACAAAGCAACAACCAAUGAAUUGGAAGUCAAAAAAGACUCAAGCAUUGAAAAAUAUAAACCAAUAGAAACAGCCUUCACCAGGAUCGAUGAAAUGGCCGAAGAAAACAGCAAUAAAGCUAGGAAAAAGGAAGCGACAUCUGCACCAGGACAGAAGAUCACAGAAUCAGCUAAACACAGAAUGACUUAUGGCGAUAUCAACUAUCUAGGAUCUAACAAGGCAUUUUUCUACUUUGAUAGAGGUAUAAGAGACUGUAAAUGUGAUUCAUCAAAUCAGCAUAAUGAGAUGUUUUCACACUACCGAGAAACCUGUGCCGUUGGGCUUACGUGCCCAGCAAGGCUCAGCACAACAUGUUGGUAAGGAGAUGGUGAAAAUAAAGUGCAACUUUAAAUUAUUAAGUUAUAGAUAUAAAAAAAAAUUAAGUGACAAUACAAAAUAUAGAAUCUCAAAUCGUGCAAUAUAAUCUAUCGAAAAAAGAAGUAUAAGUAACAUUAAGUUAAGAGUACAA